CCUACGGGCGGCAGCAGUGAGGAAUAUUGGUCAAUGGACGCGAGUCUGAACCAGCCAAGUAGCGUGAGGGAUGACUGCCCUAUGGGUUGUAAACUUCUUUUAUAUGGGAAUAAAAUGUUCCACGUGUGGGAUUUUGUAUGUACCAUAUGAAUAAGGAUCGGCUAACUCCGUGCCAGCAGCCGCGGUAAUACGGAGGAUCCGAGCGUUAUCCGGAUUUAUUGGGUUUAAAGGGAGCGUAGGUCGAUUGUUAAGUCAGUUGUGAAAGUUUGCGGCUCAACCGUAAAAUUGCAGUUGAAACUGGCAGUCUUGAGUACAGUGGAGGUAGGCGGAAUUCGUGGUGUAGCGGUGAAAUGCUUAGAUAUCACGAAGAACUCCGAUUGCGAAGGCAGCUUACUAAACUGCCACUGACAUUGAGGCUCGAAAGUGUGGGUAGCAAACAGGAUUAGAUACCCCUGUAGUC
rnacentral:rRNA from 1 species